UACAGAGGGUGCAAGCGUUAAUCGGAAUUACUGGGCGUAAAGCGCGCGUAGGUGGUUUGUUAAGUUGGAUGUGAAAUCCCCGGGCUCAACCUGGGAACUGCAUUCAAAACUGACAAGCUAGAGUAUGGUAGAGGGUGGUGGAAUUUCCUGUGUAGCGGUGAAAUGCGUAGAUAUAGGAAGGAACACCAGUGGCGAAGGCGACCACCUGGACUGAUACUGACACUGAGGUGCGAAAGCGUGGGUAGCAAACGGG
rnacentral:rRNA from 1 species